rnacentral:rRNA from 1 species
GGCUUGGGGGCUUGCUCCCGGGUUAGUGGCGAACGGGUGAGUAAUAUAUCGGAACAUAUCCGGAAGUGGGGGAUAACGUAGCGAAAGUUACGCUAAUACCGCAUAUGCCCUGAGGGGGAAAGGGGGGGAUCGCAAGACCUCUCGCUUUCGGAGUGGCCGAUACCGGAUUAGCUAGAUGGUGAGGUAAAGGCUCACCAUGGCGACGAUCCGUAGCGGGUCUGAGAGGACGACCCGCCACACUGGAACUGAGACACGGUCCAGACUCCUACGGGAGGCAGCAGUGGGGAAUUUUGGACAAUGGGCGCAAGCCUGAUCCAGCCAUACCGCGUGAGUGAAGAAGGCCUUCGGGUUGUAAAGCUCUUUCAGCCGGAAAGAAAUUGCUUCUAUUAAUACUAGGGGUAGAUGACGGUACCGGAAGAAGAAGCACCGGCUAACUACGUGCCAGCAGCCGCGGUAAUACGUAGGGUGCGAGCGUUAAUCGGAAUUACUGGGCGUAAAGCGUGCGCAGGCGGUUUGGUAAGACAGAUGUGAAAUCCCCGGGCUUAACCUGGGAACUGCAUUUGUGACUGCCAGACUAGAGUGUAGCAGAGGGGGGUAGAAUUCCACGUGUAGCAGUGAAAUGCGUAGAGAUGUGGAGGAAUACCGAUGGCGAAGGCAGCCCCCUGGGCUAACACUGACGCUCAUGCACGAAAGCGUGGGGAGCAAACAGGAUUAGAUACCCUGGUAGUCCACGCCCUAAACGAUGUCAACUAGGUGUUGGGGAAGGAGACUUCUUUAGUACCGCAGCUAACGCGUGAAGUUGACCGCCUGGGGAGUACGGUCGCAAGAUUAAAACUCAAAGGAAUUGACGGG